AUCCUGGGUGGGAGAAACCACGUGCCAUUGGGGUCUGUUUCCUUCAUGAAAAUAAAAAGGGCAACUGAGAGCGGACGUGAAAGAGGUGCUUAAAACCACGGCGGUGCGGUGGAGAAAGUGGGCAAAGAAGUCCCCCCCCCCUCGUAACGUUGGACCCUCGCCAGUGAAGCUGAAUGUUGCAAGAUUCAGGCCCGACCAACUCGCUGCUACUUCCUCCUCGCCUAAUUAAAGUGUGUUGCGAGGCCCACAACUCUGAGGGCUUAAACAAAUCUGUUUAGGCGGAUUCGUGGAGAAGAAGAAUAGAUAUUAGCCAGGGCAGCUGUGUACAGUGCUGCCAGUAGUGAAGGCUGAGAGGCCUCCAAGUAGGUUAGUGGACAGCACAAGUGUGUUGCCUUCAUGUGUCUGCUUUGGGCCUUCUGGCAGGCAUUGGAUUGGCCACUCUGAAAAUAGGUUGUUGGACCAGGUUGAUGGCCUGAUCAAGCAGUGCUCUUCCAAUUUAUUUAAUUUGUAUACCACCCAUAGAUCUCGGCAGUCCACAACAUAAAAUCACAAUGUACAAAACACAAAAUAUGUAAUAAAAAUAAAAUCAAAGACAACCCAAUAAUAUCCCCUUCCACAGCACAUUUUAAAAGGGCACCAGAUGUCAGUUGGCCAAAGGCCUGGUUAAAGAGGACCAUUCCACAAAUGGGAAGCCAUUGCAGCAAAUGACCAUUCUCGUGUUGCCACUCCGAACCUCUUGUGGAGGGGCCUUCCAAUGAUCUUAAGAAGUCUCUUCUUAAACUUCUGAUAUGUAACAAGAAUGGGUGUUGGUAUUAAUCUUCCCCUGCUGCCAUUUUCCCAGCAAAAAUUACCUGGGGUAGGGUAUCCUUGCACAGACCAGAGUUUUAAUUCUAGGAAAUAGGUUGUUUUAAAUCCCAGAAUCCCAAUCCUGAUCUUUCUCCCCUUUCCCCAAAGUGAGUUGCAAAAAGGCAUCAUUGCAUAUGGUUUGGCUCUGCAGAGUAGGACAUACUGGGUUUUUUGACUACGUGCCAUUCUGUGCAGCUUCACACAGUCAAUUAAGAGUUGGCUGAAAGCCAAGGAUGGCUGAGCAGAGAGGAGUUAUUCUGCCUGGAGAUAUGAGACCUUGGAUACUGCUCUACCAUUGGUUGAGGUCUCACACAGGCAUGAUGACUUAUGACCUUACUGACUGGAUAGUUUGUUGAUCAGUGUGGUGUUCUGAGAGUCGUUUGGAGUUUGUUAUGAGAGAGCU